UAAUACGAGGGGUGCAAGCGUUAUUCGGAAUUAUUGGGCGUAAAGGGUGUGUAGACGGCAUACUAAGUCAACUGUUUAAUUCUCCGGCCUAACCGGAGGUCAGCGGUAGAAACUGGUAAGCUAGAGUAUGGAAGAGAGAAGUGGAAUUCUCGGAGUAGCGGUAAAAUGCGUAGAUCUCGAGAGGAACACCAAUGGCGAAAGCAGCUUCUUGGUCCAUUACUGACGUUGAGACACGAAAGCGUGGGGAGCAAACAGGAUUAGAUACCCUGGUAGUCCACGCUGUAAACGAUGAUCACUAGACGUUAGCCUUGUUCUACAGGGCUAGUGUCGUAGCUAACGCGUUAAGUGAUCCGCCUGGGAACUACGGUCGCAAGACUA
rnacentral:rRNA from 1 species